rnacentral:rRNA from 1 species
AUACGUAGGGUGCGAGCGUUGUCCGGAAUUACUGGGCGUAAAGAGCUCGUAGGUGGUUUGUCGCGUCGUCUGUGAAAUUCCGGGGCUUAACUCCGGGCGUGCAGGCGAUACGGGCAUAACUUGAGUACUGUAGGGGAGACUGGAAUUCCUGGUGUAGCGGUGAAAUGCGCAGAUGUCAGGAGGAACACCGGUGGCGAAGGCGGGUCUCUGGGCAGUAACUGACGCUGAGGAGCGAAAGCAUGGGUAGCGAACAGGAUUAGAUACCCUGGUAGUCCAUGCCGUAAACGGUGGGCGCUAGGUGUAGGGGUCUUCCACGACUUCUGUGCCGUAGCUAACGCAUUAAGCGCCCCGCCUGGGGAGUACGGCCGCAAGGCUAAAACUCAAAUGAAUUGACGGGG